CUGGAGGUAUCGUUGGUCAUGAUGAAAUUUCCAGAUGUUCGCUGAGUGAGCCAUUGGAAAGUGAUGAGGCAGACUUGGCUAAGAAGAAAAAUCUUGAUUGUUCUAGAUCUACAAGAAGCUCAAAGAAUGAAGAUAAUAUUAUGACUGCACAGAAUGUUCCCCUAAAGCCUCAGACCAGUGGAUAUACAUGUAAUAUACCAACAGAGUCAAACUUGGAUUCUGGAGAGCAUAAGACUUCAGUUUUAGAGGAAAGUGGACCUUCCAGGCUCAAUAAUAAUUAUUUAAUAUCUGGAAAGAAUGAUGUGGAUGAUGAGGAAGUUCAUGGAAGUUCAGGUAAACUAUUGUUUUUUUUCUGUCUUGAUUUUUAUGGCAUUAUGAAUAUGGAGUAAGGAGUGCUAUGUUUUGUUUACAUUGUCACUGAUGGCGAAUGUAUAUUGAGUACCUACCUCUUAAGACCCUUAGUUAGAGAUUAAUAAGACCCUGUUAAGUGAGACAGAAAGAAAAU
rnacentral:sRNA from 1 species